GGCCGCUUGGCGCAAUGGUAGCGCGUGGUCCUCCUAACGAAGCUACUUAUUUUGCUUUAUGGAGACCUAGACUGAGGUUGCGGGUUCGAGUCCCGUGGUGGUCG
rnacentral:tRNA from 1 species